GGCCUCCGAGAUCCCUGCCGGGAGGAAGGGAGCCGUUGGGGGCGGGGAAGGGGCUGGGCGAAGGUGAGCCGUGGGCCGAGCUCCUGUCGGUCGUGGAGUUUCCGUAGACUUACUUAUCCGGAGCUUUCCUGGGGCGGCUUGGAGUGUGGGACCAGUACAGCUUGUUGGGUCUGGUGGCCUAAAGGAGGCUGGGGAGCAAAGUCUUAAUUGAGUCCAUUUUCUUAAAAGGCAUCUCAAGGAUCUGUGAGUCCAUGUGACAGAUUCUUAGCGAUGAAAGAAGCCACACGCACAGCCCCCACGUACCAGCCGGAUCCUCUUUCUGGACUUCUCUGGAAGCGGCUCCGUUUCCCGCGGCUGGCUUUUGCUGCAGGGUUUCCAGGCGCUGCCCUGGAAAUCGCCACUGGCAGCAGCGAUUUCCACGUGGAGAGUGGUUUUACCCAGGGCUUUGAACCCGUUGGUUCCGGUUCAGACCCCUGCUGUGAAGUUGCUUUUACACCCCCACCCACCCAUUUCACCCCAGGUAUUCUGAAUCAAUCUACAUUUUAAUGAGAUCCUUAGGUGAUUCUUACAUAAUAAAGUUUGAGAACUACUGCUCAACUGGUGGUUCUCACAAUUGGUUGCUAACCAGCACCAUUAGCAUCAACUGGAAGCUUAUUAGACAUGCAGAUUCUCAGCCCUGAUUUUACUGUUCCCGUACCCGCCCCUCUCCUCUAUGUAGGUUAAAGCCUGGAUAGGGGGCAACUGAUUAAUUUAAUGGCUCGUACAUUCUUUUUCUGCCCCUCUUAAAUGUUGGGGUUUCAAUCCUCUGCCCUCCUUGCACUCUGAACACUCUGAUUCUUGAAUCAAAUGCCAUAACUUCCUCAAUCUUUUACUUCUUAUGUAAAUCCGUUCUGCCUAGGUAUUCUCAUUACCUGUAAAUUAUCCAUGCAGUUCAGGCCAGAAACCUUGGAGUCAGCUUGGAUGUCUUUCUCACCCUUCACAUCCCUUUCAUUACCAGGUUAAUUUUUUUUUUUAAUUGUGCUUUAGGUGAAAGUUUACAGCUCAAUUUCUCCUUCAAAAAUUCAUACACAUACUGUUUUGUGACAUUGGUUGCAAUCCCCACAAUGAGACAGCAUGCUCCCCCUUUCCCUGUGUCCAUUUGUGCAGCUUCUGUCCCUUCCUGCCUUCUCGUCCUGCUUUUGGACAGAGCUGUCCAUUUGGUCUCAUAUAUUUGAUUGAACUAAGAACCACAUUCCUCACCUGUGUUAUUUUUUGUUUUGUAGGCCUGUCUGAUCUUUCAAAGGUGGGCUUUGGGAAUGGUAUCAGUUCUGGGCUGGCAGAGUGUCUGGGGCCAUACUUUCAGGGGUUCCUCCAUUCUCUAUCAAACCUAUAAGUCUGAUCUUUUUAUGUGAAUUUGAAUUCUGUUCUACAUUUUUGUCCUGCCCUGCCCAGGACUCUGUGUUGUGAUCCCUGUCAGGGUGAGAUUACCAGGUUAAUUCUCUUUAAUAAAUAUCUCUUAAAUCCAUCCUUUUCCAUCUCUCCCGCCACUGUUCUUGAUUAGGCCCUCAGGGUCUUUUACCCUGCAGUAACCUCCUAACUAUCCUACUCUCCAGUCUGUCCCCCAACGCCGUGGAAGCUAGUUGUGCUCUGCUCACAUCCUGCAGAAGCUACUCACUGUACUGCAUAAAAUCCAAACUUAUGGUGACGCAUAAAGGACCAGGGACCUCUACUUUUCCACCAUCAUCUCCCUUCACUUGUCCUUAGCCAAAGCUUCUUAAGUCUUCGGGCCGGCUCUCUAGUGGCUUAUUUAAAUAGGCUGUUUCCCUUCACUUGAAAUGCCCUUCCCUGACCUGUCUACCCUCAAGAUGGGGCCUAAGUGUUACCUUCACCAACAGUUUCUCUUUACCUCUCUUUUUAGCCUUCCCAAGUGUUAUGGAUUGAAUUGUAUCCCCCAGAAGUGUGUUAACUUGGCUAGGCCGUGAUUCCGAGUAUUGUGUGAUUGUCCACCAUUUUGUCAUCUGAUAUGAUUUUCCUAUGUAUGUUAAUGAGGCAGGAUUAGAGGCAGUGAUGUUAAUGAGGCAGGGUUCAAUCUACAAGAUUAGGUUAUACUGUGAGUCAAUCUUUUUUGAGAUACAAAAGAAGUGAGCAGAAAGACAGGGACCUCAUGCCACCAAAAAUGAUGAACCAGGAAGGGAGCACAUCCUCCAGACCCAGGGUUCCCGUGCCGAGAAGCUCCUAGACUAAGGGAAGACUGAUGACAAGGACCUUCCCCCAGAACCAACGAGAGAGAGAGCCUUCUGGAGCUGGCGUCCUGAAUUUGGACUUCUAGGCUGAGAGAGAAUAAAUUUCUCUUUGUUAAAGCCAUCCACUUUCUGUUAUAGCAGCACUAGAUGACUAAGAUACCGAGUUAGGCAACUCUUUCGUUCCAGUGAAAUCCUGUGCUGAUUUCUAUAUUGUGAUUAUAAUCCACAUCGUAAUCCCUGUGUAUAUGUCUGUUUUCCUCAUCACAACCGAGAUUCCACUGAGGACAGGGGCUGUGUCUCAUAACAGUGUAACCCCAGCAGCUUGCAGUGUCUAGCAUAAAUUAAGCAUUCAGAAAAUGUUGGUUGAAUCAACUGGGCCCAGAAACCAUGUGUCUAAAGUAGUUUCAGGGCCGUAACCCUGUACCAAAAUACCAGAUAAUCGUUUAUGAGCAUUUCCAGGGUAUCAAGACAGGUGGCAAUAUCCUCUGCAAUCCACUGUGGAAUAAAUAUAAGAAUGUAACUGCUUGUAAACAGAAAAAGUGUAUUUUAGCUUAGAGUUCACAGAAAUGCUUUACUCAUCAAUGGAUUCAACAAAUACUUACUGAAUAUCUGCUGUGUUCUAUGUACAGUUCUAGAGACUUGAGAUACAUAAGAGAACAAAACAAUGACUUCUGCCCUUAUGGAGUUUAAUAUUCUAGUGGGGUUGGGGGAGGCAGACAGAAAACAUGUGACUACAUAAUAUGUUAGUAGGUAAAGAUGCUAUAAAGGGGUGAGGGGGCUGCAAUUUUGAAUACAACGGACAGGACAGGCCUGAGGAAGUGACUCUGGAACAAAGAUUUGGAGUUGGAGAGAGAGUUAGCUAUGAGGAUAUCUGGAAGCCUGCUGACGGAGGGAAUGGCUAAGGGAAAAAGUUCCUAAGGCGUAGUGUUCCCGGUGUGUUCAAAGAACAAAGAGUCAGGUGUAGGUGAAACUGAGUGAGCUAGGGGAGACAGGGGAUCAGAGAUGAAACAAGAGGACAGGAUCAUGUAGGGCCUUGCCUGCUGGUGUAAGGACUUUGACUUUUACUGUGAGGCAAAUGAGAGCAGGGUUUUGAGCAGAUGAGUGACCCAGUCUUUUUUAAAAGGAUCACUCUGCUCUGUUGAGAAUAAACAGCAGGGAGGCAAUUCAGAGGCUAGGAGACUAGCUAGAAGACUGCAGUGGUAAUGCAGAUUAAGAGGUGACAGCUUAGACCAGGGUGGUGCAAUGGAGUAAAGCGUCAUCUUUCCUUGUGUCCUUUCCCCUUCUUCCUUUCAUUCAUUAUUUAUUGAGCACCUACAGUGGUGUCAGGUAUUGUGCUAGGUCUUCGCAUAUAUUGGUGAGCAAGACUAACAUAGUCCUUAUCAUCACAGAGCUUAUAUUCUAGUGAGGGGAAGAUGGAUAAUCAAAAUAUAAAUAAAAUAACAUAGUGCUAAGUUGCCUGAAAACCAAACCUGUUGCCGUAAAGAGACCCCUGUAGGACUGAGUAGAACUGCCCCAUAGGGUUUCCAGGGAGCAGCUGGUGGAUUCAAACUGCUGACCUUUUGGUUAGCAGCCAAGCUCUUAACCACUGCACCACCAGAAACAAGGAUAGCGAGACUUCGUUUCACAUACUUUGGACAUGUUAUCAGGAGGGAUCGGUCCCUGGAGAAGGACAUCAUGGCUGGUAAAGCAGAGGGUCAGCGAAAAAGAGGAAGACCCUCAAUGAGAUGGACUGACACUAUGGCUGCAACAGCGGGCUCAAGCUUAACAACUGUGAGGAUGGCAAAGGACCGGCAGUGUUUCGUUCAGUUGCACAUAGGGUCGCUAUGAGUUGGAAUUAACUUGACAGCACUUCACAAGUUGCCUGACUACAUCAGAAUGCUGUGAGGGUGAAUAAGGGGAGGGGAGGACCACUACCUACUAUAGCUAAUGAUUGGUAGUCUGUCUGAAGAGGGAACAUUUAACCUGAGAACGGAAGAAUGGAAAAAAAUCUAGUAAUAUGAUGAAGAGGAGUGGAGGAAGUUAGGGACAGUGGUCCAGGCAGAGGGGGUGUGUGCUAAGGCCCUGACGCAGUAGAGAGUUCUGUAUUUCCUAAGAACUGAGUGGUGUAGCACAGUGAGCCAGGGGUAGGUGGCCAUGAAGUGAGGUUGAAGAAGUAGAUAAGUGUCUUGGUUUGGGUUUUAAGUGAGGUGGGACACCACUGUGCCAUUUUAAGCAGGAAAGACUUGUUAUGAUCUAAUAAACAUUUUUAAAAAGUCACUCUGGUAAUUGUGUGAUGUCUUAGUUAUCUAGUGCUGCUAUAGCAGAAAUACCACAAGUGAUGGCUUUAACAAAGAGAAAUUUAUUCUCUCAGUCUAGAAGUUCAAAUUCAUGGUGCCCACUUUAGGGGAACGCUGCCUCUCUCUGCUGGUUCUGGGGGAAGGUCCUUGUCAUCAAUCUUCCCCUGGUCUAGGAGCUUCUCACCAUAGGAACCCUGGGUCCAAAGGAUGCGCUCUGCUCCCAGCGCUGUUUUUUUGGUGGGGGGAGGUCCCCCUGUCUCUCUGGUCAUUUCUCUCUUUUAUAUCUCAAAAGAGAUUGACUCAAGAUACAACCUAAUCUUGUAGAUUGAGUCCUGCCUCAUUAACAUAACUGCCUCUAAUCCUGCCUUAAAAACAUCAGAGAGAUAGAAUUUACACAUAUAGGAAAAUCUUAUCAGUUGACAAAAUGGUGGACAAUCAUACAAUACUGGGAGUCGUGGCCUAGCCAAAUUGACCCACAUUUGGGGCGGGGCACAAUUCAAUCCAUAACGUGGGGAGUUUUAUCAGAGAGGGGCAACACUGCAAGCGAGCAGACCAAUUAGGAAGCUGUUGCAGCCCAGCAUGAGAUACUGAUACCUUGGUCCAAGGUCAUGGCAGCAGAGACGGAGGGGGGGGAUUGCAGAUAUAUUUAGGAGGUAGAAAUGCCAACAUUUGCUGAUAGACUGGAUAUGGAGAUGAAGAAGAAAGGAAUCAAGUUAUGAAGGAUGACUUUCAAGUUUCUAGCUGCAGCAAUUAGAGGGAUGGAUGGAGGGUGGCGCCAUUUACAGAGAUGCAGGUGCCUUUACAGAAGAGAACUACUUCCCCCAAUAAAGUAGAGGACUUGGAGGCGUAGAAGUGAUUUGGGAUCAUCAGCUGUGAGGUUUUAGGAGUGGAAGUGUGAGAGGGGAAGGAAAGUACUAAGUAGUUCUCAGAGGUUCGGAAUGCAAGCUACUAAAAGCCGCAUGGUAGGAUCACCGGCCAAUGUUGAAUGUCCCUUUGAGGUUCGUGCUCAUUUAUCCAUUUAAAGUGAAAACAGUCAAUUUAGUUGUGGAAUUUCCCUCAGCCAAGUUCCCUUUUCUAUUUUCUAUCUCCUAGCUAUCCAUAACUUGGCAACAAAAUAAACAUUUUAAUUAUUUGUUGAAUAUAAUCCUGACGUUCCCUGUACUGAUUCAAAAUGGUAAAUUUAUUAUAUGGUGACUUGCAUACAAUUUAAAAAAAAAAUACUUACUGAAUUGAACUUAAGUGUUGAAUUUUUCUUUGUAAAACAUCCUCAAAACUAGAAUUCCACUUGUGUGGUCUGAAAAUUAACUUAUUUGCUUAAAAAAAGAUUUUUUUCCACAGCUUCUCAACUAGCUUAACAUACCCACUGUCUGUUUUUCUUCUAUUUUUCCCAUUUCUUCUUAACAUUUUCUAAGGUUGAAAUAACUGCUCCUUACCUGUCAAGGAGUGAUUCCAGGAAAGCAUUUUUUACAUUCAAAGAUUAUCCUGCCUUUAAAGAAAGUUGAUGGAAACAACCCACAUAUCUAUUGAUAGUUGAAUGAAUAAACUGUAGUUUAGUUACACAAUGGAAUACUAUACAGCAAUCAAAGAAGCUGCUCCCCAAAACAAUAUGGAUGACUCUUACAUCACGUUGAAUAAAAGAAACCCAUUGCCAUUGAGCUGCUGGCCUUUCAGUUCACAACCACUUAACCACUGUACCACCAUAGAUCCUUGGAUGAAAGAAGUCACUCAAAAGAAAAUAUACAAUAUGAUUCUAUUUUUGUAAACUAAAAAAAAAAACUGACCUCAGGAAAAAGGUUACUUUUGAGAGGGAGAAAGUGGGGUGGGCUUAUGGGAUGGUGGUAAUAUUGUGUCUUGACUGGGUGAUGUUUAAACAAGUGUGUUGACUUUAAGAUAAUCCAUUAUCUGACCCUUUUGAUUGAUAACUUUUUGUAUUCGUUAUACUUUAAUAAAACAGCUUAUUAAACAAGUUAAGCACAAUUGCCCCUUUUUAAGAGUGAGCUUAUUUAACCCCUAACUGCUACAGUAAAUAUCAAAUAAUAAAUAUAUGCCUUAGCUCUCUAUCAUAGCCAUUAGAGGGAAAGAGAAUAGUGAUAAGCUGAAGGUUAGUUAGAAGCUUGAUGUCUUUCAGAUUUGUAUGAGGGUAAGAGCUUGUCAUGGAUUAAAUUAUGUCGCCCCAAAAAUGUGUUUAUUAACUUGGUUAGGCCAUGAUUCCCACUAUUCUGUGGUUGUCUUCCAUUUUGUGAUUGUAACUUUAUGUUAAAGUGGAUUAGGGUGGGAUUGUAACACCCUUACCGGGUCACAUCCCUGAGCCAAUAUAAUGGGAGUUUCCCUGGGGCGUGGCCUGCACCACCAAAAGGAAAGGGAAGCAGAGAGUGGGGAAUUUCAUACCACCAAGAAAGCAGCACCAGGAGCACAGCAUGUCCUUUGGACCUGAGGUGCCUGUGCUGAAAUGCUCCCAGACCAAGGGAAGACUGAUGAUAAGGACCUUCCUCCAGAACCUAGAGAGAAAGCCUUCCCCUGGAGCAGACGCCCUGAAUUUGGACUUGUAGCCUACUGGACAGUGAAAGAAUAAAUUUCUCUUUGUUAAAGUCAUCCACUUGUGUUAUAGCAGCACUAGAAUGACUAAAACAGAGCUAAUUCAGAAUUCUGGUGGCGCAGUGGUUAAGUGCUUGGCUGCUAACCAAAAGGUCAGCAGUUCAAUUCACCAGCUGCUCCUUGGAAACCCUGUGGGGGCAGUUUUGUCUUAUAGGGUCACUAUGAGUCAGAAUCAACUCAACAGCAACAGGUUUGGGUUUUUUUUGGCUUAAGGGCUAGUUCAUUUACUAACAGAGCACUUUUUAAGGAAAACAGAACAUUUAACCUUGACCUUAAGAGGUUAAGUUUAUCGUAAUUGUUAUGUAAGGGUAAGCACUAUCUUCUUGUCUGAUAAAUAGGAAAAAUAAGCCACCUUUUUUUUUUUUUUAACUCAGUUAUGCUUUUUCUAUAAACUGAUUUUUAUUAAACACACACACACACACACACACACACACUGACUCACUGACUCACUCACUCACUAGCAUUGAAGCUCUCUGGGCCUCAUUUUCCUUAUCUGUAAUGUGAGGCUGUAGAACUAAAUCAGGAAUUCUUAAUUUGGAAUCCAUGGAUGGUCAGAUACUUGAAUUUUCUGAAAAUGAAACCAAAAGUAUAUGUGGAUUUUUUUUGGUUGAUUGCCAUAGAUUUCAUCUGAUUUUCACAGAGGAAGAACCACAAAAGCUAGCUAACCUCUGAGGUCCCUUACAGCUCUGACAUUCUAGGAUCACUGGAAGAUUAGGCUAAUUUUCACGUAGAUAUAAAUUACAGGUUUUCUCCAAGGCUGAUUAGAAGAAGGGUAACUGUUUUGAUCUGAAUAGCAGGUAAUUUUAAACUUCUUUUUUUUGUUUUUAAUUUGUGUUUUUAAACAAGUUGAAAUCAAAACUGUUAGAUAUCAGGGAUUUUUUUUUUUUUUAUAAUUUUUAUUGUGCUUUAAGUGAAAGUUUACAAAUCAAGUAGAUGUCAGGGAUUUUUAAAACAUUUUUAACUCUUAAUCCUUCCGCCAUCGCAUAUUACGUCCCCCUCAAAAGGUCUACAGCUGAGAUCACAAGCUAAACACUACUAGUCUGAAAGGGAGACGAAGGCCAGUGCUGGCAAGGACAGUCAGUGGUCCCAACAUGCUCACUGUUGUCCAGUGGACGUUUACUCCUCUCUCAUACCAUUCAGGGACAUAGGACAAGUCAGAGGAUCCAAGUGGAAGAGGACAUGAUAAAAAGGUGACGUUAUUUUAGAAUCCUGAUAGCACCUCCUAUCUGACAGCAACAAAAGCUCAAUGAUUAUCUUUGUAACAGCAUUGCCUUCUCUUAACAGCCCUUAAAGAGUAUCGGCCUGAUCCUAAGAGACUCUAAGCUCUAGGGCCUAAAAACCUUAAGUAUCCCUUGUUACUUCCACCCACUUAGGUUUAUGUGUUGCUGUUGAGUGAAAUGGAAGGGCCUGGACCAAAACCAAACCCAAACCCAAACCCAGUGCCAUCGAGUCGCUUCCGACUCAUAGCGGCCCUACAGGACAGAGUAGAACUGCUCUGUACAGUUUCCAACGAGCGCCUGGCAGAUUCGAACUGCCAACCCUUUCGGUUUCCAAAGGGCCUGGAGUAAGUACAUUUAGUGUUUGGGAGGUGGAAGGCAGGGAGGGAGGGUGUUCAAUGCAAAUGUGAGGAAGGGCAGGGAUUCAGAAAAGUUUCAGUUCUCAGAUACACAAUUCAAAUAUAUAAUCAAAAGACAUGAGGGUGGGAAAUCAGGGUCAGGCCUGAACUCUAAAUUCUAGAUUGCCUAAAUUGAACCAUCUGCCUUAAAAUACAUUUCUACCCUUAAAAUUUUAAAGUAGCUAAGGAAAAUUAAUUAGGAAUGUGAUGAGAUACUGGAUAUCCAUUAGUGAGAAAGAACGCCAUUUCGGGAGUUCUGACUUAUAAAGCAAACAAUAUCAAAGAAACAAAAAUAACACCUAUUUUUAAAAUUUUAUAUAUAGUAGUACUUUUAUUCAAAAGAAUAAACUGUUUGACAAACUCUUAAAUCACAAAGUUUGAACCAAACCGCCAAUUCGCUACAACAACUCUGUGAGGUAGGUAUCUGCACAGCCACAAGGGAUCAACACAAGUCCUUUCUUCCCUUGUUCCACUCAAAAGCUGAGAAUUGUAGAAGUUGAAACCACAGCUCUAGUGGGCAGUCAGAACAACUGUCUCACUUGUCUUGUUCCCCACAGAGCCGCCCAGUUUAUUAUCUGCUCCUGGGGUUGGACCAUCUGUUUUUGCUUCAGUUACAAUAUUGUUUUAUAAAAAAUCCCAAUUAACAUUACUUUGAUUUCUAUGAUCUUACUCUAAAUCACAGAAGUAGUACUAUGAUAUUUAUAACACUGAUUGACUCUACUUGCUUUAAAUACUCUCUCAGACCCCUCUGCCUUUAUUCCCAGUGACAAAUGAAGAUGACAUAAUAAGCAGGUGUGAAAUUCUGAAAUGUCAGCAUGUUCCCUUUUCAGUUUCAUAGAACUUCAGAUCAUACAGUGCUUUUGUAUGUUACAAAGCUGGGUACAAUACACCUCUACCAGGGAAGUCUUAGAAGGAAUUUGAAAAUAUACAAAAUUAUCAUACCCAGAAAUGUGACACUUGGAGCGGAACACACACACAGAAAAUAAAGUCCUUUCAAAACAGGACACUGCCAUAGCCCGGGGCCAAAUGGAUAGUUGGUACAAAAUGCAUUUCUACACUGGUAAAUGGCAAACAAAUUCCCAUUCAUUUGUUUUCAAGUUGGUAACUGCAGCUGUGAAGUGUGCCAGCCACCUAAGUAGAUGUUUGAUUUGGAUGCGCAGAUUUGGGACUCAUCAAGUCUUGAUGUGUCAGAAACACCUAAGCCUGAUGAUGGACUAAUGUCUUCUGAAACACUUCCACAGGACUCCCCUCGACCUGCCCCAGUUCCUCUCCUGCUCCCCACUUCAUAAUAACCUUCAGUAUCAGAAAAUUCUAUCUAAACAACCUAUGCUAGAAUCUAAGAGUCUAAUCCUAGUACAAUCAAUUAUUUGUUCCAUGGCUUUAGGCAAAAACCUUCCAUCUGUAACAUGGGGAUUUUGUCUAUGAAGAGGAAGGUGAUGCUGUGGCUUGCUCACAAAAUUGGCCUAAGAAUAACAUGAAAAAUAUGCGAGAGAUUGCUUUAAUUGUAGUAUAUUAUGUUUAAGUAUUCUUGUUUUUCUCUAUAACAAGCAACAGCUUUGUUGUAGGCCUAAAUUAGAAAACAUUGUUAUUGGUAUUUCAUCUAGCAUCUCCUUGGUUGAUGGCUAAUCUGAUUAAUUUUAGAAAACCUGAGAUUUUCUCUUACCUCACUAUCCACACAUAGUGACGCUCACAAAUUAACGGGCAGUAUAAAAAAAAAACAAAAAACAGUGAUUGCAGUAAGGCACACACUGACUCCGGGCCAUCACCUUACACUGGGCUGUCCUAAAUUCACUAAUGAACAAUGCCAGAUGAGGCUAACUAGGAUCAUAUGGUACGUGUGGUAUUUAUCUUCCUCAAACUGAAAACUGCAUAAGAGACCAUUAGAUACUCAUGCGAUAACCAUCGGAAAAAAAACAAGGUAACUUUCUUAUCCAAUCACGUCAGAUACAUUUGCUCAUUCUGCCAAUAUUCUUUAGACAUAAUUGAUCUGGGCUACAUGCUGCCAUCUACAGACUGUAUUAUAAGUUUUCUGACUGAAGAACAAACCAAUGAAAUUGGUGCAUUCUGUUACUAAAGUUGAAGCCCUGGGUUGCUAAAGUUAAGCCAGUAAUUUCAAGUCAAAUUUAAAUGGUGUUCCUACUACCCCACCCCCAAGGGCUUUGAUGCUCACAGCCAUGAAGAUCCGCUUUCCUCGGAAAUGCACCGGACAACUAUGUGCUUUUAGAACCAUCCUUCCUUUUCACUGAUAAAAUCCCCAUAUCAUAGGCCAAAGGUUUCUGCCUGAAGCCAUGCAACAAAUAAAUGAUUGAACUGGGAUCAGACUCCUAGUAGUAUCCCCCUGACAAGUUACUUUUAUAUGCUAAUCAUAUGAAAGGACCAAACUGGUUUCUAAAUGUCACAACUGUGAACAUCAAGUGUCCUGACAGGAGAUAAAUAUUUUUCAUCUUGUUAAAUUCUCCUAUUGAUUGAAACUUGUUCUGUGAACCGGAAUAUGAAAUCAAAUUAUGAAGCUCAAGUUUCUCCCUUCAGCUUCAGCUGAUAACAAAGAAUUACGCCAGCAUGGAAAAGCAGAACUGCUGCAAAUGCACAAAACUUAGCUAAUUCUAAAGGAAAUACUGACUUCUUCUCAAUAUUAUGUAGUAUUUUAUUGUAAAAAAAAUAUUUAGAUGAGUUUCACAGCUAUGUAUUAUAAAGAUAUCCACUGAGGAGGAGAUACUGGAUAAACUACAAUAAUCUGAGUUCUGGGAAAUAGUUUUCAUUUUAUAUCAAAAAGACAUAAAACCAUCCCUUUUUAUAUAGUUCCAUAUUUUCUCCAGAGACUUUAC